GUCAAAGAUUAGGGUAAAAGGUUCGUAGGUAGUCGAGUGUUUCUCUUUGUCUUACUCAAUUCGAUAGCAUUAUCUAUUACCACCUAGAGUUUGACUGUAUUCUUAGUUUCGAUCUUAUUUCAUCUUGAUGUUAUUCCUAUUUGUUGCAAUUACCUUUUCUUUUUCGAGCGCUCUCUAGCUGAGGGUCUAUCGGAAACAUCUCUGCCCUUCCAAGGAUAGGUAAGACUGAGUACAUCUUAUCCUCCCCAAACCCCACUCGUGGAUAACUAUUGGGUUUGUUCUUGUUGUUGUUGUUGUAAAAAUAAUAAAAUGGUACUUAAAAAUAUGUAUUUGCGUUACAAAAUGAAAAAUUACCAAAAAAUAAUCAUGUUUAGAAUUUUUCGAAUCCACUCAAACGAUUCUUCCUCUAAUCUUUUCCCAUAAUUGCUUCAUUGUACAAAAAAGUUAUUGUUAGAAUAUGUAAUAGUAGAACCCUAAUCCAAUGUGUAUUAGGAGUAGCCUAAUCCAAUGUUUAUUAGGAGUAGGAUACGUUACGUGCUUUCUCACAUGGUAUCAAAGCUUUGGUGAGAUAAUUAUCAUUGUGCGUCAUUCCAAAGACAUCCGGGAAGAAAUAACUCAGUCACCGUGCAAUUUUUCGGUGACCGAAGUGUCUAAUUGCGUCAAAGUCACUAAUUAUCAGUGUUGUGAAAAAAACCAACACCAUCACAUCUACAGUGAGUAUUAUAAUUGUGCGUCAUUCCAGCUACUUCCGGGAAGAAAGACCUCGUCGCCGUGCAAUUUUCCAGCGACUUAAGCGGCUGUCCGUAACUAAACCAUUAGGUACCACAAAACCAACACCAUCACAUCGACAGUGAGUAUAUUAUAGCUGUGCGUCAUUCCAGCUACUUCCGGGAAGAAAGACCUCGUCAUCGUGCAAUUUUCCGGCGACUUAAGCGGCUUUCCGUAACUAAACCACCUUUUUGUUGGUGUUGUGCAAAAUCCGAGACCACCAAGAGGUUCAGAAAAGAAUUCCGACCAACCCCAGAAAAAAUCAGCGGAAACGAACCUCCCACGCGCCCGCCGGAGUUCUGCCGCUGCCGGCGCGUCUGUCCCACGCGUCGGCGCGUGAACACUGUUCCGGCGAGAUUUUGACGAAGGUCUUUCAAGGCAGUUGGAUCGCCCUCAAAUUCCGAGCCUACCCAUAUUUUUACUUUUCAAUUCUGACAACCGUGAAUUUUCUCCGGUAGCUACAGUAUUAUUUCCGGCAGCUACAGUAUUUCCAAUUUCCACUUUUCAGUUGAUUCUUUCUGAUUAUUUGGUGAUAAUCCAACGAUGUCUUUAGGACUCUAUGCUUUCGGGUCUAGAAACCCGGAUUCGAUGUUAACUACAUAUGUAACAAGCUCGGUACAUAUGAUUUAUAUGCACCAGCUUGAGGGGGAGUGUUAGAAUAUGUAAUAAUAGAACCCUAAUCCAAUAUGUAUUAGGAGUAGCCUAAUCCAAUGUUUAUUAGGAGUUAUAUUCUUCUCCCGUGCUUUCUCACAGCACCAAUGCACUUAUAUCUGGCUAUAGAGCUCGAAUACUUAAACUGUUGUUAAUGAAAAUUAUGAAUCCUUUAUUUUAGAUGUCUGGAAGAGAUAAAAUAAUGUUUUCAAAAUCCAAGUUAUAAGAGUAGUAUUUGAUUGAAAGGUAAAAAAGGUUGUUCGCUUUAUAUGAGGCCUAGCUAAGUACGUGCGUUUAUUUCAUAUUAAUUUUACAAAAUCAAGAGUCUGAUAAUUUACCAACAAUUAAAAAGUCUUUACCCACAAUUUACUCAAUUUGUGAGAAUGGAUAAAACUUGUACCCUUAUCCUAAUCAUGCAUUAGUAAUCACAUAAUUCCAACUCGACAAAUACUGAUGGCAGAAAACUUUUAUAAAGAACAUAGAGAUCGCAACAAUUCUUUUUGAACAUGGAGUUGUAUGAACUUGUACCACUCAAGAAGAAAUCAAGUUAAAAGAAUGCGAGGAUAAUCAAUAGAUGGAAAGUCAAAUAAUAUAUGGUGUCAAAGUCCAGUAAGAUCUUAUCGAUUUUAAAGU
rnacentral:lncRNA from 1 species